AAUAUUUAACGUUUUAGUGGAACAAGCUGGAAAGCUUAGCGAUACAGGGUGAUAGCCCCGUACACGAAAAGGCGUUAAAGGUACUAAGCUUGCGACAAGUAGGGCGGGGCACGAGAAACCUUGUCUGAACAUGGGGGGACCAUCCUCCAAGGCUAAAUACUCCUAACUGACCGAUAGUGAACCAGUACCGUGAGGGAAAGGCGAAAAGAACCCCUGUGAGGGGAGUGAAAUAGAACCUGAAACCGUAUACGUACAAGCAGUGGGAGCAGACUUGUUCUGUGACUGCGUACCUUUUGUAUAAUGGGUCAGCGACUUAAUUUAUGUAGCGAGCUUAACCGAAUAGGGGAGGCGAAGGGAAACCGAGUCUUAAUAGGGCGAUUAGUUGCAUGGAUUAGACCCGAAACCUGG
rnacentral:rRNA from 1 species